rnacentral:rRNA from 1 species
AAUUCGCCCUUAGAGUUUGAUCCUGGCUCAGGACGAACGCUGGCGGCGCGCCUAACACAUGCAAGUCGAACGGGACUAUGCAAGAUGAAGUUUUCGGAUGGAAUUUUGUAUAGUUUAGUGGCGGACGGGUGAGUAACACGUGAGCAACCUGCCUUCGAGAGGGGAAUAACGGCUGGAAACGGUCGCUAAUACCGCAUAACAUACAGGAGGGACAUCCCUUUUGUAUCAAAGAUUUAUCGCUCGAAGAUGGGCUCGCGUCCGAUUAGGUAGUUGGUGAGGUAAUGGCCCACCAAGCCGACGAUCGGUAGCCGGACUGAGAGGUUGAACGGCCACAUUGGGACUGAGACACGGCCCAGACUCCUACGGGAGGCAGCAGUGGGGGAUAUUGCACAAUGGGGGAAACCCUGAUGCAGCGACGCCGCGUGUAGGAAGACGGUCCUCUGGAUUGUAAACUACUGUCCCCAGGGACGAAGAUGACGGUACCUGGGGAGGAAGCUCCGGCUAACUACGUGCCAGCAGCCGCGGUAAUACGUAGGGAGCGAGCGUUGUCCGGAAUUACUGGGUGUAAAGGGAGCGUAGGCGGGGAUGCAAGUUGGGUGUUAAAUCUACCGGCUCAACUGGUAGUCGCACUCAAAACUGCAGCUCUUGAGUGAAGUAGAGGCAGGCGGAAUUCCUAGUGUAGCGGUGAAAUGCGUAGAUAUUAGGAGGAACACCAGUGGCGAAGGCGGCCUGCUGGGCUUUUACUGACGCUGAGGCUCGAAAGUGUGGGGAGCAAACAGGAUUAGAUACCCUGGUAGUCCACACCGUAAAC